UGUAGGAGUGAGCCUGCUCGCGAUAGCGGUGUGUCACUCACCGCUGAUAUUGAAUGGCUAUCGCGAGCAGGCUCACUCCUACA
rnacentral:misc_RNA from 1 species